rnacentral:tRNA from 2 species
GGCCUCGUGGCGCAACGGUAGCGCGUCUGACUCCAGAUCAGAAGGUUGUGUGUUCAAAUCACACCGGGGUCA